rnacentral:rRNA from 1 species
UACGUAGGGCGCGAGCGUUGUCCGGAAUUAUUGGGCGUAAAGAGCUCGUAGGCGGCCUGUUGCGUCUGCUGUGAAAUCCCGGGGCUUAACCCCGGGCGUGCAGUGGAUACGGGCAGGCUGGAGGCAGGCAGGGGAGAAUGGAAUUCCCGGUGUAGCGGUGAAAUGCGCAGAUAUCAGGAGGAACACCGGUGGCGAAGGCGGGUCUCUGGGCCGAUACUGACGCUGAGGAGCGAAAGCGUGGGGAGCGAACAGG